CUACGGGAGGCUGCAGUAGGGAAUCUUCGGCAAUGGACGGAAGUCUGACCGAGCAACGCCGCGUGAGUGAAGAAGGUUUUCGGAUCGUGAAGCUCUGUUGUAAGAGAAGAACGAGUGUGAGAGUGGAAAGUUCACACUGUGACGGUAUCUUACCAGAAAGGGACGGCUAACUACGUGCCAGCAGCCGCGGUAAUACGUAGGUCCCGAGCGUUGUCCGGAUUUAUUGGGCGUAAAGCGAGCGCAGGCGGUUAGAUAAGUCUGAAGUUAAAGGCUGUGGCUUAACCAUAGUACGCUUUGGAAACUGUUUAACUUGAGUGCAGAAGAGGAGAGUGGAAUUCCAUGUGUAGCGGUGAAAUGCGUAGAUAUAUGGAGGAACACCGGUGGCGAAAGCGGCUCUCUGGUCUGUAACUGACGCUGAGGCUCGAAAGCGUGGGGAGCAAACAGGAUUAGAUACCCGAGUAGUC
rnacentral:rRNA from 1 species